UGCUGGAGGUAUCAGAAGUGCGAAUGCUGACAUAAGUAACGAUAAAGCGGGUGAAAAGCCCGCUCGCCGGAAGACCAAGGGUUCCUGUCCAACGUUAAUCGGGGCAGGGUGAGUCGACCCCUAAGGCGAGGCCGAAAGGCGUAGUCGAUGGGAAACAGGUUAAUAUUCCUGUACUUGGUGUUACUGCGAAGGGGGGACGGAGAAGGCUAUGUUGGCCGGGCGACGGUUGUCCCGGUUUAAGCGUGUAGGUGUGUGUUCCAGGUAAAUCCGGUUCACUUUAACACUGAGGCGUGA
rnacentral:rRNA from 1 species